rnacentral:tRNA from 1 species
AAGACUUUAAGUUAAAUAAACUAAUAUCCUUCAAAGCUAUAAAUAAAGAGAUUUCUUUAAGUCUUA